rnacentral:rRNA from 1 species
AAGCCAGUGGUGAACUCCACAUACGCAUCCUUUGCUGAGGAUACGGUUAACGGAGCGAAAGCGACGUUCAACCUCAAAAGAAGCAGAGGGGGCUUAGUGGUGGGGUGACUGCGUACCUUUUGUAUAAUGGGUCAGCGACUUAUAUUCUGUAGCAAGGUUAACCGAAUAGGGGAGCCGGAGGGAAACCGAGUCUUAACCGGGCGUUAAGUUGCAGGGUAUAGACCCGAAACCCGGUGAUCUAGCCAUGGGCAGGUUGAAGGUUGGGUAACACUAACUGGAGGACCGAACCGACUAAUGUUGAAAAAUUAGCGGAUGACCUGUGGCUGGGGGUGAAAGGCCAAUCAAACCGGGAGAUAGCUGGUUCUCCCCGAAAGCUAUUUAGGUAGCGCCUCGUGAAUUCAUCUCCGGGGGUAGAGCACUGUUUCGGCUAGGGGGCCAUCCCGGCUUACCAACCCGAUGCAAACUGCGAAUACCGGAGAAUGUUAUCACGGGAGACACACGGCGGGUGCUAACGUCCGUCGUGAAGAGGGAAACAACCCAGACCGCCAGCUAAGGUCCCAAAGUCAUGGUUAAGUGGGAAACGAUGUGGGAAGGCCCAGACAGCCAGGAUGUUGGCUUAGAAGCAGCCAUCAUUUAAAGAAAGCGUAAUAGCUCACUGGUCGAGUCGGCCUGCGCGGAAGAUGUAACGGGGCUAAACCAUGCACCGAAGCUGCGGCAGCGAACGUAUCACCCAAGACAACUUUACGGAGUUAACGAUUGACGGAGCGAAGCGACGUCAAAGCGUUCAUUAAAGUCGAGUUGGCUUAGGGAUACGUUCGUUGGGUAGGGGAGCGUUCUGUAAGCCUGUGAAGGUGGCCUGUGAGGGUUGCUGGAGGUAUCAGAAGUGCGAAUGCUGACAUAAGUAACGAUAAAGCGGGUGAAAAGCCCGCUCGCCGGAAGACCAAGGGUUCCUGUCCAACGUUAAUCGGGGCAGGGUGAGUCGACCCCUAAGGCGAGGCCGAAAGGCGUAGUCGAUGGGAAACGGGUUAAUAUUCCCGUACUUGGUGUUACUGCGAAGGGGGGACGGAGAAGGCUAUGUUGGCCGGGCGACGGUUGUCCCGGUUUAAGCGUGUAGGUGUGUGUUCCAGGUAAAUCCGGUUCACUUUAACACUGAGGCGUGAUGACGAGGCACUACGGUGCUGAAGCAACAAAUGCCCUGCUUCCAGGAAAAGCCUCUAAGCAUCAGGUAACAUCAAAUCGUACCCCAAACCGACACAGGUGGUCAGGUAGAGAAUACCAAGGCGCUUGAGAGAACUCGGGUGAAGGAACUAGGCAAAAUGGUGCCGUAACUUCGGGAGAAGGCACGCUGACAUGUAGGUGAAGUGAUUUACUCAUGGAGCUGAAGUCAGUCGAAGAUACCAGCUGGCUGCAACUGUUUAUUAAAAACACAGCACUGUGCAAACACGAAAGUGGACGUAUACGGUGUGACGCCUGCCCGGUGCCGGAAGGUUAAUUGAUGGGGUCAGCGCAAGCGAAGCUCCUGAUCGAAGCCCCGGUAAACGGCGGCCGUAACUAUAACGGUCCUAAGGUAGCGAAAUUCCUUGUCGGGUAAGUUCCGACCUGCACGAAUGGCGUAAUGAUGGCCAGGCUGUCUCCACCCGAGACUCAGUGAAAUUGAACUCGCUGUGAAGAUGCAGUGUACCCGCGGCAAGACGGAAAGACCCCGUGAACCUUUACUAUAGCUUGACACUGAACAUUGAGCCUUGAUGUGUAGGAUAGGUGGGAGGCUUUGAAGUGUGGACGCCAGUCUGCAUGGAGCCGACCUUGAAAUACCACCCUUUAAUGUUUGAUGUUCUAACGUGGACCCGU